rnacentral:tRNA from 1 species
GGAUGUAGCGCAAGUGUUAAAGCACGUGCUUAACAUGCAUGAGGUCCUGGGUUCAAUUCCCAGUACCUCCU